GAUGCACCAGAAGAGAAGGAGGCCUAGACAGGGUCAGUGGGAUGCCAGUGAAUGUUGGGGAUUGUACAAAAUAAAAAGUUAAAAUGUU